rnacentral:rRNA from 1 species
UACGUAGGUGGCAAGCGAUGUCCGGCUUUAUUGGGUUUAAAGGGUGCAACGGCGGCCUGAUAAGUUAGUAGUGAAAUCGUGCCGCUUAACGGUAUACUCGCCAUUAAUACUGUCGGGCUUGAGUAAGUGUAAGGGAGAUGGAAUGCGUGGUGUAGCGGUGAAAUGCAUAGAUAUCACGCAGAACGCCGAUUGCGAAGGCAGUUUUCUGGCACUUAACUGACGCUGAGGCACGAAAGCGUGGGUAGCGAACAGG